GUAAAAUACAUGGAAGGAAACAUUAGUUAUGGUGCAAUACAAUAUGGAAGCGCAUUCACGUGUUUCCAAGCAACGUCCAUGGAGAUAAAUCCAGUGCAGAAUAUCCACAAGAGGGAGCUAUUUCCUUCUGUUGAUGCCUCUAUUCCUUCGCCAAUACGAAGACAUGACCAUUUGCUAGUACCCUUUUCAAUUAGCAUGGGUUUAAACCCUCUAAAAAUGCUACAGCUAUUGUUUUUACACUGUUUCUCGUUUAACACCAUAUUAUUAUGACCACUGUCUCAGCAAAAAAGGGAGCGAUCAUCACAUGCACCUUCAAGUUUGAAAGCUAUCCAAUCCCUGCCACGAUACAGAUAAUCAUUAGUAUUACGAAUCCUUGGCAAUCAGUAGUCACCCAGCUCUGAUCAACAUAGAUGUUUGGAGUUGAUCUGUUGUUCAUCCUCUGACUAUCUGGGCUGGAUUGAUGUUUAUUUAUUUUACAUUUAUUUAAACAGGGUGUCACCAAUGAGACCAGGGUCUCUUUCGCAACGGAGAGCUACACAUACAUAAAAACGAACUAAAUACAGUACAACAAACAAUCAAGAAAAACAGCCACAUUCCUCGGCAAAUAGUUCCCCAAUCAAUAUUUUAAAUUGCCCAAGUGUUAUCAGAGCAUCCAAUUGCAGUGCAUUUUGCAAUUGGUUCCAGCAAUGAGGGGGAUUAAAACAAAACAAAAAUGACGUAUUUCGGUGGAAAACCAAGGAACAUCAAGAGUUAACCAAUCCUGGGAGCGGGUUUGGUUUCUCAUGUUUAAAAAAAAACUUUAACAACGAAGUUAAGUCAAUUGGAAGCUUGUCUAGUAGGGGUUUUUAAACAGAAAGAGAGUAUUGAGUUGAUCUACGGGACUUUAAUGAGGACUAGCCUACCUUUUGAUACAGGAUGCAGCGGGCUGAGAUGCUCGGCGAAACGCAUACCAUGGUUCUGAAGGAAGGCGUUCUUCCUAGCAGCUUUCCAGACAGCAUCCCUGUAGAAUCUGGCAGUGAAUAGGAUGAUGAUACCCCUUGGUCUUGAAUCGUUUUGCUGUUGCUUCUUGCUGAGGCGAGAGUCUCAGGUUCCAUCUUCUUGUGUAUUGUUCCAGAUCAGUGAGACAUUGUUAUUCAUUGUUAUUAUUUUCCACCCUUUCCAUCCUUUUUUCAACUUUUUUUUUUUCAACUUGCCAAAGUUUUUUUUCAACUUGCCACUCUCGUUUUCACAUCCUUGAUUUCACCACAUGCAAACUCCACAGUCUUUUUCAAGCCUUCGAUAACCAUGGUGUUCGCGCCAACCAUUUUCUCAAUGGCGUCACACCUGGAGUUGAUGAGUAAGGAGAGGGUAGCCACGAUGUCAGAGUUCAUGUUGGGUUUUUUGGAGGAUGGAGGUUUGCACGGAGUAAUCGGUAAAGAGGGGAAUUCGUCAUAUUCAACAGCAUUCGAAAGCAUGAUAUUAUCCAUAGGCCAAGCGUAGUUAUGGCAGUUGUCUGUAAGUACGUUUCUCUCUUGUUGAUUAGCAAUAGAACGGCUAACUUCUUUCUUUCUUUUUUUGUCACGACUUUGCAUGGACAUGCCGAAAUAAAUGAUCCAAUUAUUAUUCCA